UCCACAAGCCCACACCCGGGCGCCUCUAUGCCGAAACCCUAGCAAGUUACUGCAGCCGCCUCCAUCUCUCCCAAUCACGCCGCCCUGAAGGCAGGCCAUGGCGGCGGCUAGAUCCGUGCCGGGAUAGGAUCUGCAUCUGGAGACCCAUAGCAUGGAGGGAGGAGACCCACGCCAUGAAGUUGUUCGUCAAGGAGCUCCUAUGAGAGCAGUUUGUGGUCGGAGGGCCCGGUCAGCCGGCGGUGGAUGCCGGUGACGGAGGUCUCCUCUCCACGGAUCUGUGAUGGAGCGCUUUCUUAUUUUCCUCUCCCCGGAUCAAGGCAUAUCCACUGGAUCCAUGCACUGUUGGAGGAGAUGAUGCGGUUCGUGUUGCCGGCCCGGGCAUCGCUGCCACUGGAUCCAUCUGCCCCAGGGAAAACAAGGCCCCCCGCGUAGGUAAACAUCUGGAUUUAUGCUAAUUAGGAGGUAAAUACCGAUUUUAAUCAGCGGUUUCUCUCAUAAGUUGGAUCAUCACAAGAUUGGAGUCAUUGUGGUGUUGCUCUACUCUUUUCUGCAGUAAAGGAAAAUGGUUAUCAACUAAUAUUCCUUGGUGCUAGAGCUGUUGUCCAGGCAUAUCUGACAAAAACUUCCUUUUCAAUCUAAAACAGAUUCAACCAAAGUCUUUGCAGGGACUUCCUUUUUUCCUCGAUGGGAGCGGACAUACUUUUCUUUUUGACAUGACGUAUGUGUAUGAUUGGAGACUGAACCAAUCAGGGACGUGCUUUUCUUCCUUUUUUACUUGACCGACGGGAAGAGCAUAAUCCUUUUGACAUGACCUGUUGUUUCUAUAAGGCAUAAAUACAUGCAACUAUAAUUGUCCGGUCUAAUGAACUGAGCUGAACAGAAGUUCAGACCAGCACUUCUAUUUUUUCUUUUAUGGAUAAAACUUUUUUGAUUAGCAUGUAUGCUUUGGAGUCCUUCAAAUUGAUUCACUGCAGCGUACGGGAUCAUGUCUCUUAGUAGUUGACAUCAACACAUCAAUUCUAGUUGGAGUCAUAUCUAUACAUGAAUCUAGUUGGAGUCAUAUCUAUACGUGACUUUUCAAGGAAGAGUAGUUUUUUUUGGAAAGUGACUCAUAUCCAUACGUGACUUUUUCAUGAAAAGGCAUAUAAGUUAGACGAACAUGUUGACCUUAUUUUUAUGUGACGUGUCAAUCCUUUUGCAUGUUCACCUUAUAGUAUUUGCAUGUAAUGAUACAUGUUUUAUUUUACGGGGAGCUGUGUUAAUCUACUCCGUUCAUAUUUCUUAACUUUUGAGCGGUCAAUCUUCACCGUUACUUUUCUAUCGUUUUAAGUAUAUAAUAGAAGAUUGUAUCCAGUUCAGUUUCAGUAUAUACAUGUUGCUAAUACUUUCAAAAAGCAGGUCGGUGUAAAUAUGCAUAAUGCAAUACAUUGCAUUUCUGAAGUUUUCCAGUUUGAGAGAUAUGUUUCAACAUUCUAUUUCUUUUGGUGGAUUUGCGGGAGAUCAGUGUGGUGUUUUUCUAGCAUCAGGGUUUUUAUUUACCUCACAAGAAUUUUGGAAACUCAUCAAGGACAACAAAGACCAUGAGUCCUUGACCUACCUGCUCAUAAAGCGGCAAUGGCAAGAGUUGGCAUAUUGUGCAAAGGGAGAGGAUGAGAAGAAACUUGUGAUUCUCAUCCAAUCUUUGUAUAACUCUCUUGAUGUGCGUUUGUGCACUUGUUGGAUAUUUUUCCUUUGCACUUGUAGAAGUAUUCUGUUGUGCACAUGUAAAAUUAUUUUGAUGUGCACUUGUUAGGCGUUGAACCUUGAUGUGUAGAGGAGU